rnacentral:rRNA from 1 species
CGGGGGAGGUGGGUGGGGCCGGGGUAAGACGGAGGGGCCUAGCGUUGUUCGGAUUGAGUGGGGGUAAGGAGCUCGUAGGCGGUUCGGCAAGUGGGAUGUGAAAUCUCCACGCUUAACGUGGAGGGGCCAUUCGAAACUGCCGUGGCUCGAGUCCGGUAGGGGAGUGUGGAAUUCCCGGUGUAGCGGUGAAAUGCGCAGAUAUCGGGAGGAACACCAGUAGCGAAGGCGGCACUCUGGGCCGGUACUGACGCUGAGGAGCGAAAGCGUGGGGAGCGAACAGGAUUAGAUACCCUUGUAGUC